rnacentral:rRNA from 1 species
GAUGAACGCUGGCGGCGUGCCUAAUACAUGCAAGUCGAGCGAACGGACGAGAAGCUUGCUUCUCUGAUGUUAGCGGCGGACGGGUGAGUAACACGUGGAUAACCUACCUAUAAGACUGGGAUAACUUCGGGAAACCGCAGCUAAUACCGGAUAAUAUUUUGAACCGCAUGGUUCAAAAGUGAAAGACGGUCUUGCUGUCACUUAUAGAUGGAUCCGCGCUGCAUUAGCUAGUUGGUAAGGUAACGGCUUACCAAGGCAACGAUGCAUAGCCGACCUGAGAGGGUGAUCGGCCACACUGGAACUGAGACGCGGUCCAGACUCCUACGGGAGGCAGCAGUAGGGAAUCUUCCGCAAUGGGCGAAAGCCUGACGGAGCAACGCCGCGUGAGUGAUGAAGGUCUUCGGAUCGUAAAACUCUGUUAUUAGGGAAGAACAUAUGUGUAAGUAACUGUGCACAUCUUGACGGUACCUAAUCAGAAAGCCACGGCUAACUACGUG